rnacentral:lncRNA from 1 species
UCGCUCCAAUCACAGGCCGCCCUCCCCCAGGCGAGGGUGCCUUUGAUUCGCUUCAGGGCUCGACAAUAGUGUGGCUGCAAAACGCAGCCCUGGGACGGUUCGGCAUUGACCGAGGCAGACUGUGGACGCAGAGCCAGGGGGUGUAGCACUGUCGCUUGCUGCGACGCCACUGCGGCAGUGGGCGCUCAAUAGAAAGCACCAAUGCUUCAACUUUUCAGCUGCACUCAGGCGCGCCACAGACCCGGGUUCGUUCCUUAGCCCCGGCAAGGAAGGCACAACUUGUUAGUGCCCCGCAAAGUGCUUUGGGAUACAGACUGCAGGAAAGACGUUGAACAGAGCAAAGUCCGGAUCCUGCAACCAACUCCGCUUAUGCAGACCUGUGUCCAUAUACAGCCCUGUUUACCCACUUCGAAUGCUUGCUUGAAACAAGCUGCUGGAUCAGGGAUUAAAACGUGUUUAAAAAGAGACUCAUUUUUACCAGCUCUUCCUUGCCAUCAAUCUUAAGAAACCUGGACUCUUGAGAGGAGCAAAAGGAGUCACAUCUUUGCCAAGAGACGUUUUCAUCGGAAAAGAGGUAAGAGGCUUGUCCCUGAUGUAUCCACCUCUCUGGACAAGGGUUGCUUUUAUGUCCUCAAAAAACCAAACACAUGCCAUUACCCUAUUGCAUCUCUACAUAAAUG